UACAGAGGGUGCGAGCGUUAAUCGGAGUUACUGGGCGUAAAGGGCGCGUAGGCGGUUAUAUGGGUGUGGUGUGAAAGCCCUGGGCUUAACCUGGGAAGUGCAUCGCAAACUAUAUUGACUAGAGUACAAGAGAGGGUGGCGGAAUUUCCGGUGUAGCGGUGAAAUGCGUAGAGAUCGGAAGGAACGUCGAUGGCGAAGGCAGCCAUCUGGCUUGAUACUGACGCUGAGGCGCGAAAGCGUGGGGAGCGAACAGG
rnacentral:rRNA from 1 species